rnacentral:rRNA from 1 species
ACGUCAAGGUCAUCAUGGCCCUUACGCCUAGGGCUACACACGUACUACAAUGGCGCAUACAAAGGGCAGCGAUACCGCGAGGUGGAGCCAAUCCCAAAAAGUGCGUCCCAGUCCGGAUUGCAGUCUGCAACUCGACUGCAUGAAGUUGGAAUCGCUAGUAAUUCGAGAUCAGCAUGCUCGGGUGAAUGCGUUCCCGGCCUU